UGGGCGUAAAGCGCAUGCAGGUGGUUUGUUAAGUCAGAUGUGAAAGCCCCGGGGCUCAACCUCGGAAUUGCAUUUUGAAACUGGCAAACUAGAGUACUGUAGAGGGGGUAGAAUUUCAGGUGUAGCGGUGAAAAUGCGUAGAGAUCUGAAGGAAUACCGGUGGCGAAGGCGGCCCCCCUGGACAGAUACUGACACUCAGAUGCGAAAGCGUGGGGAGCCAAACAGGAUUAGAUACCCCUGGUAG
rnacentral:rRNA from 1 species